rnacentral:rRNA from 1 species
UACGAAGGGUGCAAGCGUUCAUCGGAAUUACUGGGCGUAAAGGGUGCGUAGGCGGUUCGUUAAGUCUGUCGUGAAAUCCCCGGGCUCAACCUGGGAAUUGCGUUGGAGACUGCAAGGCUGGAGUCUGGCAGAGGGGGGUAGAAUUCCACGUGUAGCAGUGAAAUGCGUAGAGAUGUGGAGGAACACCGAUGGCGAAGGCAGCCCCCUGGGUCAAGACUGACGCUCAUGCACGAAAGCGUGGGGAGCAAACAGG